GAUUAAUCAUUUCUUGAAAUCAAUUUAAUUGUACUAUGAAAUGCACCAUUUGAUAAAUAGUAAACCAUCUUACUGACUUUAGUCUUAAAUUAUCUUAAAGGCACUAAAAUUAGGUAAUUUAAAUAAUAAAAAUUACACUUUGUAAAAUUCUGAUAUGCAUAUAUUAGCAAUUCAUUCAAGUAUAACAUUAUAUAGGAAUCCACAUUGUAGUUAAUGAAAAAUAAUCAGAAUUUCCAAAUAGAGUAAGUAGAUGGCUGAUAAACCACUAAAUGCAUAGUAAAUCAGCAGCCUCAUUUUACCUCAAAUAUAUACAUAGGUAGAUAAGUUGAAUACUUGUAUAAAGAGAAGCAUAAUUUUCAAAAGGCAUUCCAUAGGAGAAAACAAGUUUUUUCAUACAAUGUUUAGCUGAGGAUUUAACAUUUGGAUGGAAGGAAGCUUUUUCGCCUCUAUUUUUAUUAAUAUGUUGGUAGCUCAGAGGGAAAAAAAAUAAUCUCUAGGAAAUUCUGUGAGUGGUUAAUGAAAUGUUAUUUUUGCAAGAACAGGUAAAUUACAGCUAAUACAAUUUCUAAUACUUAAAAGUGAUCUGAAAUUUACAUUUAGAAUGUCUUAUUUCUUGACAAAUAUUUCAGUUCCUGGAUAUUUUUUUUCCAACAAUAUAUGUCUUUAAAGAUUAAAAUGCAAUUUCCUAGUUUUAGAAUAAAGGGAUUUGGGAAGGCUGAAUGAAAAAUUUUAAAGGAAAGGUCUCUACUGACUUUCCAUUUUACAAUAUUUUUAUGGUUUCCUUUGUGAAACAAAAUAGAUUUAAUUUCACCUGCAUUUCAGUUUGAGUUAUAGUGAAUCUAAAAUCAAGAGAAACCACAUUUUUCUUGUUAAAUACUGUGUUUUUAUACAUUCCCUCUACUGGGAAUAUAUUUAUGUUAAUGUAGUCAAUUUUUUUUUAAUUUUCACUCAUCCAGUUAAAUAUUUUCAUAAUAUCCUUUCAUACUUUUCACUUGAAAUAAAAUUAUAGAUUUGCCAAGUUUGUAUUAAAUAAUUUUGUGAUUGAGUUAUUUUCCUGUAUUGGAUGGUAAAAUUAAAACACAUGUGUUCCAUUUGAAAUGUAAAUUUAAGGGAGUUCCCGUGGUGGCUCAGUGGUUAAUGAAUCCGACUAGGAACCAUGAGGUAUUGGGUUCAAUCCCUGGCCUUGCUUGGUGGGUUAAGGAUCCAGCAUUGCCAUGAGCUGUGGGGUAGGUUGCAGAGGCGGCUUGGAUCGCACGUUGCUGUGGCUCUGUAGUAGGCUGAGGGGUAUAGUUACUAUUCAUCUCCUAGCCUGGGAACCUCCAUAUGCUGCAAGUGCAGCCCUAUAAAAGACCAAAAAAAAAAAAAAAAAAAAAAAAAAAGAAAGACAAAAAAUAAAAUGAAAUGUAAACUUAAAACAUUUUGCUGAAGAAAAGUCAAGUAAUAGAAUAAGUAUGAAAGUUAAAAGUCAUGCUAAAUCUUACCGCCCAAGUGAAAAUGCUAUGAACAUUUCAGGGGCAUCCAUUUGUACAGUGUCUUAGAUUCACGAAGGAGGGUCCUCUGCCCUGUUCAGGAUGUUUGCUGGCCCUGCCUUUCAUCGAGAGGGAAUGAGUUUCAAAUUCAAGUUAAAAUACCUAUCAGGUAACCAAACAACCUCUGACCUACUCAUCAGAGAAAGCUUCCAGAGACUGACUGAUGGUAGAGGAGGGACUCCAUCUACCUAACCUGGACUUUCAGGCUGUAAUAAAAGUCUGCUUUCAAGGUAGGAGUUUAGAACAUAUUUAAAAGUUGCUAAUUGGACUCAUCAGCACUCACUCUUGAGACAUAUGCUAUGUGAUCCUCCAUGUGCACUCUUGCCUGAACUUUGCAAAUGUCAGACUUGGCACUGCUUUGGAGGCAUUGCUCUGUGAUACUAUAUAUACACAGUACAAAAGUCAAAAAUACUUUCUUUGUGAUGAUAUAUAUUCGUAUCCCUCUCUCUUUGUUAUAUAUAACCAGUCAUAGUGAUGUUUUGCCCACUUCCUUAGGUGUGUUACACUCCAUAAGUUGUCCUGUCAAUCCAGCCGUGUUUAUCCACUUAUUUACAUGGCCACAAUGAAAGUCAUCAUUGUACUUCACCAUAACUCCAUCAGUUACUUUUCCUCUCAACAUUUUCCUUUGCUAUCAGUUUAUAGUUAAUGCCUGCAAUUCCCUAUGACAUUUCUCAUGUCAUUUAUUUUCUAGCACCACCUGUUUGAACACUCAGUUGUGCCUCCACCUCAAAACUCAAUUGGACUUAACUUUUUAUUCUCCAUCAUGCCACCUGAUGAUAUUUGCUUUAGCCCAAUUUCUGCAGUGUUUCUUGGUUGAUUCUCCUCACUCUCUCCCACCAUGGUAUCUGUCCUAGUUACAUGCCACAAAUAUUUAGAAACAGAGUUCUCCCCUUUUCCUUUGGGAUCUCGCUACACUCGGGGUUCUUCCUUUCUCACUAAAAUGCAGCACCUCUACCCUACAACCGGGUCAUCAGUAUUUGCACCUCCUCCAUUUUUCAGGAAACAUAUAUGAAAGAAAACAGUCUUCAACAUAAUGCUUUACUUUGUGUUCUCAUUAUUAAGACUUUAAACAACCUGACUAUAUGGCUAUAUUGUAUACUAUUUAAGAAAGUCUUGAUUAUAAUUCUUUUGCUUCACCAUUUAGUACUGCUUUGGACCAGUUAUUCACUGUCUUAAAAGGUAUGGCUUUUUUUUUCUUUUCUUCAAAUCCAUAGGCUUUUGUCAUGUACUCUGAUUGAAUACAGUUUUCUUGAGAUAGUACAGUGUUAUUGAGAAAAGGAGAUAGACAGAAACUGACACUGAGAAAAAAGAAACCUGGGUCCCAAUUUAUACUGUAUUUAUGCCAAUUUACCUUGCAGUAGCCUUAUCAUUCAUAGCUUUACAAAUCUGCAAAAAUAAAGUUUACACAUGUAUGCUCAUUCAGGAAGUCCUCUGAUGUAUAUAAUCACAUUAGUUAGGACAUUAAUUCCUUUUUAAAGCUAAGAACAUUCUUACCAGAUAUGAAUUUUUUUAUUCAAUUAUUUUUCAGUUUAUAUGUUAGAACUUAUACCCCUCUCUCUCCAGUUUUAAUGCAUUACUUCUAUAUCAUUACUUAUAAGUGUUUUUAUCCAUGUACUUCCAAAAUGGAUACUCUCCAAAACAAAAAAUAUUAAACUUAGAUGAACACACUGUACACUUUUAUUCAGUCAAUGGAUAUGUAUUUAAUGCCUACCAUGAAAGGUUUAAAGUGUUUGGACAUAGCAGUGAGAAAAGAAAUUCAAGAUACCUCUUAUAACUUAACUUAUAUUGCAAUAGGAAGCAGUUGGCAGAUGAUAUUCAAUAAACGUAGUGUAUGUUAAUAUAUCCUAAGUGCUUUGAUGACUAUCAGUCAAAAUAAGUACAUAAAGAGGAAUGGAUCAGGAUGUAGUUCUAUUUAUACAAAGAUUUGGGUAGGCUUCUUGAAUAAAUAGAUAUGUGAGCUGAGAUGUGAUUAAAAUGAGGAAAUGAGUCAUAUCCAAAAUUAUGGGACUCAUGGACUUGGAGAAUAGACUUGUGGCUGCCUGGGUGGGGAGGGAGUGGGAGGGAUUGGGAGCAUGGGGUUAACGGAUGCAAACUGUUGCUCUUAGAGUGGAUUUACAAUGAGAGCCUGCUGUGUAGCAUUGAGAACUAUGUCUAGAUACUUACAUCACAACACAACAGUGGGAGGAAAACUUAUGUAUACAUGUAUGUGUGACUUGGUCCCCAUGCUGUACAGUGGGAGAAAAAUAAUUAAGGGACAAUAUUUGGAAGAGGAAUAUAGAACACAAAGACAGAGAUGCAGGAGUGCACUUGAGUGUUCAAAGCUCAUUAGUCAUCAUGGCCAGAGGCCAGAUAAGGAAGGGAGAAAAGAUGCAAGAGUAGUUGAGGAUAGAGAAGAAUUCCAAUGACAGGACAGGAAAAGUCCUUGGAAGGUUAUGAACUUGGAUUUCAUUCCAAAGAUCCAUCUAAACUGGAAAGUCAUUGGAGGGCACUGAGCAAAGGCAUAAUGUUAUAUGACUUGCCCUCGAAAAGGGUUGCUCUUAUUUCUCAACGAAGGACACAAUGUAAGAAGACAAGGGUGAAAACAGGGAGAUUUGGUAGGAGGAUAGUGUCAGAGAUUUGAAGGUGUUAUGAACAUAGACCAUGUUGCUGAGGAUGGUGAAAUUUUGGAUCUGUUUUGAAGAUAAAGUUAGAGUGGCCGAUACAAUGAAUGGGAAAAUAAAAUGAAGCAUCAAGCAUAACUCCACAAUUUAAUGUAAUUUGUUUAGAUGAGAAACACAAACACAGAAGGCAGAAAUGAUGGUUUGGGGGAGAAAAUCAAGGGUUAAGUUUUGGAAAUCUAAAAUGUAAAGUAUUUUUUUAUAUUUUAGCUUAUUUAUCAGAGUUUUAAAAAUUUCUGCAUAGAUGUCUUUUUUAUUAGUUAAUCCAAUAUAACUUUUAAAAUUAUGUUUUGUGGAUGGUUAUUUUGGCAUAAUUUCUUUUAUUUUUAUAGAAAGAACUUAUAUUCAACAACUAUGCCAAAAUCUCUUCUUUUUAAAAAUGUUUUAAAAAUGUUAUACAUUUUUUAAAGGUUACUUUCCAUUUAUAGCUAUUACAAAAUAUUGGCUAUCUUCCCUAUGUUGUACAAUAGAUACUUGAGCCUAUUCUAUCUUAUACCCAAUAGUUUUUGCCUCCAUCUCUCCCACCCCUAUGCUGCCCCUUCCCUACUUCCCAACUGGUAAUACUUGACCAAACGUUAGUAAGGCUCCCUUCCCAUCUUUAGUCUGUCCAGCCCAGUCUUUGCAAGAAACCUGCCAAAGUCUGUUUGGUUGGGAAUAUACUCAUCCUUGAGUUCUGAUUGCUUUUUAAGUGUUUUAGUCCUCCACUUUUCAGAUAUAAGUCCUUGACCUUCCUUCAUCAAGAGUCCUGUUAAAGAAUUUUUUUUUUUAAGUUUAGUAAACAUUUAUUGUUUUAUGCCACUGGAAGUUUUGUGGUUGUUAGGCAACAUUAUUGUGACAAUAACUAACUGAUACAGUGGGGAGAGUACUAAAGAGUGUCAUAUAUGCCUUGGCUCCAUGGAUCACACAUCAUUUAAUUCAGUUGGCCCCAUCUUUUUUAUUGCUAUGGUCUCGAAACACAUUCUUGGGGAAAAGUCACCAUAAGACAUAUAGAUCUCUAUGAGAAAUCUGAUUUUGUAGGAUAUGCCUUGGAGCUUUUCUACAUUAGCAAAUGUGAACUCAGUUGAUCUUAAGUUGAUAAGAUCUAUUUUUUAGAAAUGGGAUAAAAGUGGGGAGAAAAUGGUCAAAUUUAAUCUCUAAUUUUAAGGCAAAUUUUUACAUUAUAUUUGAUAUUAAUAAAAAGGCAUUGCCAGAGUUUGUUUCAUUAUAAACUGAGUUAUCUGAUUUGACUAGCUAGACUAAAAUUUGAAAUUUCUUAGUUAACAUGAUUUGCAAAAAAUGUUGCCCACUUAUUGCUUCUGUGAACUCUGGAUAGUUAAGCAGGAAAACGCAAUUCAUUCAGGCUCAAAUGUUUUCAGCCCUGCCUGAUUAUAUCAUUUGGGUUGCUCUUCUGCCUCUGACAUUUUCUCAGCUGCCUAAAGUAAAGGCUUGAUCUGGUUAAGCAAGGUUUUUAGAUGCAUAAAGGUAAGUGAAGACUAAGGACAAAGCAAAGUUACUCAUAAAGGUUCAUUUACAAACAGGAAUAAAAACCCUUAAUACUCAGUAUAACAUCAAUGUAGCAUAAAUAUAAAAUAAGCCAGAUUACUGAGUUAUUAAAGUGAUAUAUAAUCAAAACCAAUUUUUUAAGAAAACCAAUCAAAACCAGAGAAUAAUAAGCAAUAGUGGGAUAACAAAGACUGAAGAACUGCUAAGAAUUAAAAUAAAAAUCCUACAGACAACACACAGACAAAUAUUUAAGAAGAUUUUUGCAAUCUGAUAUCAGGUAUAACUCAAGUUAUUUUGCCCAAUGAGGUGUAUUAAAGACUUUAAUAUAAAGCAUGAGGCAUAAGAAUCUUAGGAGAAGACUUAGGGGAAUUAUUGUAUAAUCGUGGGAUACAGAAUCCUCUUAAGCUAGAUGGAAAAAGCAUAAGCUACAAAAAAUUAUAGGUAUAUUCAUCUGCAUGAAAAUUACCUUUUUUUAUGAAAAAAAAAAGGGGGGUAAAACCAAGCAGUUCAUAGGAGAACUGAUCACUCUCACUAGCAAUCAGGGACAUGAAAUAGCAUAACACCUUUUUAAGGGACAUAGUGUU
rnacentral:lncRNA from 1 species